UGGGGAUUUCCUUAACCAUGCAGUCGACGAGCUCUUCGGAGCUAGUGGCGGACGGGUGAGUAAUGCGUGAGAAUCUGCCUUCAGGACGGGGAUAACAGUUGGAAACGACUGCUAAUACCCGAUGUGCCGCAAGGUGAAAGUAAUUCGCCUGAAGAGGAGCUCGCGUCCGAUUAGCUAGUUGGUGUGGUAAGAGCGCACCAAGGCGACGAUCGGUAGCUGGUCUGAGAGGAUGAGCAGCCACACUGGGACUGAGACACGGCCCAGACUCCUACGGGAGGCAGCAGUGGGGAAUUUUCCGCAAUGGGCGAAAGCCUGACGGAGCAAUACCGCGUGAGGGAGGAAGGCCUUUGGGUUGUAAACCUCUUUUCUCAAGGAAGAAGUUCUGACGGUACUUGAGGAAUCAGCAUCGGCUAACUCCGUGCCAGCAGCCGCGGUAAUA
rnacentral:rRNA from 1 species